UGUGGUUUUCCCCAUAUUGUUCUCGUGGUAGUGAGUAAGUCUUAUGAGAUCUGAUGGUUUUAUAAAUAAGAGUUCCCCUGCACAAGCUCUCUCUUGGCUGCUGCCAUGUAAGACGUGCCUUUGCUCCUCCUUUGCCUUCUGCCAUGAUUGUGAGGCCUUCCCAGCCAUGUGGAAAUGAUUUCUGGACUGGGUGAAUCUUAUCUGCAUUUGGCAAUCAUGAUUCUGAGACUGUGAGUGGCUAACGUCAAGGAAGCAGCCUCCUUUACAGAAUAACCCUUCUGUUUAUUUCUGUCUGGCACAAUGCGAUCUCUCUUUACUGCCACUAUUCCCGUGUAUACCUUCUAGUUUCAUUUUUUGCUGACCCUUGAGAACUGGCUCUUAACCCCUACUCCAUGCCAGCAGAAUUAUUAGGAAAUCAUCGAGAACUGUCCUUCACUUUGUGACAGCAGGAGACUCUAAGUACAAAAUAGCAGGUCACUCUGACUAUGACCAAUCGGACAGAUAACCACGCUGCUUUCUUUUUCACAGGAAAUUGUGUAACUCUGGAAUUUUAGAGGUGACUGAGUGACAAUUCUGAGAGGCCAAUGCCAUUGAGAGAAAAGUUUACUGCUACUCAUGAUGGUGCCCCUGGAAGCAGAAGACACAGCACGCUACAGAGGGCCAUGUGGCAAAGCACCAGAGAAGCACCAGGCCGGGCUUCCCAUUCUCUCUGCACUCUGGAAGGAGUUUGCCUGGGUUGGGGUUGUCACUUGGUAGAUUCCAGACCUUCAUUUUGUCAGUUUACUUAAAGGUGACUGGGUUUAAAGGGUCUGAUUGAUUGUAAAUAAC